AGUGAACGCUGGCGGUAGGCCUAACACAUGCAAGUCGAACGGCAGCACAGUAAGAGCUUGCUCUUACGGGUGGCGAGUGGCGGACGGGUGAGGAAUACAUCGGAAUCUACUUUUUCGUGGGGGAUAACGUAGGGAAACUUACGCUAAUACCGCAUACGACCUACGGGUGAAAGCAGGGGAUCUUCGGACCUUGCGCGAUUGAAUGAGCCGAUGUCGGAUUAGCUAGUUGGCGGGGUAAAGGCCCACCAAGGCGACGAUCCGUAGCUGGUCUGAGAGGAUGAUAAGCAAAAUUGAACUGGGGAAACGUUCCAGACCCUUAGGGGAGGCAGAAGGGGGGAAUAUUGGAAAAGGGGCGCAAGCCUGAUCCAGCCAUACCGCGUGGGUGAAGAAGGCCUUCGGGUUGUAAAGCCCUUUUGUUGGGAAAGAAAAGAAGCAGGUUAAUACCCCGCUGUUCUGACGGUACCCAAAGAAUAAGCACCGGCUAACUUCGU
rnacentral:rRNA from 1 species